rnacentral:rRNA from 1 species
CCUACGGGGGGCUGCAGUAAGGAAUAUUGGUCAAUGGAGGAAACUCUGAACCAGCCAUCCCGCGUGAAGGAUGAAGGGGCUCUGCCUUGUAAACUUCUUUUGUCUGGGGCGAAAAAGCUCGAUUUAUCGAGAACUGACGGUACCAGAAGAAUAAGCACCGGCUAACUCCGUGCCAGCAGCCGCGGUAGUACGGAGGGUGCCGGCAUUAUCCGGAUUCACUGGGUUUAAGGCGGCCUAGUAAGUCAGUGGUGAAAGGCUGUGGCUUAACCAUGGAAUUGCCAUUGAUACUGCAGAGCUUGAAUGAGGUUGAGGUUGGCGGAAUGUGACAGGUAGCGGUGAAAUGCUUAGAUAUGUCAUGGAACACCGAUUGCGAAGGCAGCUGACUGGACCUAGAUUGACGCUGAGGCACGAAAGCGUGGGGAGCGAACAGGAUUAGAUACCCGAGUAGUC